rnacentral:rRNA from 1 species
ACGAAGAUAAAAUUGUGCUUGCAUAAUUUUAUACUUAGUGGCGGACGGGUGAGUAACACGUAAGAACCUACCUUUUGGCGAGGGACAACCAUUGGAAACGAUGGCUAAUACCUCAUAUUACUGAGAAGUGAAAGAUGAAUAAUCACCACGAGAUGGGCUUGCGUCUGAUUAGCUUGUUGGUAAGGUAAUGGCUUACCAAGGCAACGAUCAGUAGCUGGUCUGAGAGGAUGAUCAGCCACACUGGGACUGAGACACGGCCCAGACUCCUACGGGAGGCAGCAGUGAGGAAUUUUCCGCAAUGGGCGAAAGCCUGACGGAGCAAUGCCGCGUGAAGGAUGAAGGCCUAUGGGUUGUAAACUUCUUUUCUCAGAGAAGAAAUUUGACGGUAUCUGAGGAAUAAGCAUCGGCUAACUCUGUGCCAGCAGCCGCGGUAAGACAGAGGAUGCAAGCGUUAUCCGGAUUGAUUGGGCGUAAAGCGUCUGUAGGUGGUUUAUCAAGUCUUCUGUCAAAGAUCAGGGCUUAACCUUGGAUAGGCAGGAGAAACUAAUAGACUAGAGUUCGGUAGGGGCAGAGGGAAUUCCCGGUGGAGCGGUGAAAUGCGUAGAGAUCG